rnacentral:rRNA from 1 species
AACCGUGCAAAGGUAGCGUAAUCAUUUGUCUAUUAAUUGUAGACCAGUAUGAAAGGCACAAUGAGGGCCCAUCUGUCUCUUAUAAUAAAUCAAUUAAACUGAUCUCCUAGUAAAAAAGCUAGAAUACACACACAAGACCAGAAGACCCUGUGAAGCUUAAAUCAAACUAUUAAACCUAAUAAUACUUACUUUAGGUUGGGGCGACCUUGGAAAAAAAGAGAACUUCCAAAUAUAUGACCAUAAAUCACAUAUCGGCCUACAAGCCUAUACACGACCCAGUACAACUGAUAAUUGAACCAAGUUACUCCAGGGAUAACAGCGCCAUCUUCUUCAAGAGUCCAUAUCAAAAAGAAGGUUUACGACCUCGAUGUUGGAUCAGGACAUCCUAA